rnacentral:rRNA from 1 species
CACUUUUAACAACGGAUGUCUUGGUUCUCGUAACGAUGAAGAACGCAGCGAAACGCGAUAUGUAAUGUGAAUUGCAAGAAACCGUGAAUCAUCAAAUCUUCGAACGCACAUUGCACUCUCCAUUUACUUGGGGAGUACGUUUGGCUGAGCGCCA